rnacentral:rRNA from 1 species
CGGUAAUUCCAGCUCCAAUAGCGUAUACUAAAGUUGUUGCAGUUAAAAAGCUCGUAGUUGGAUUUCUGCGGGGACGGAGCGGCCGGUCGCAACUUGCGACUCGAGCUAGCGCUUUCCCCGCAUCCUGCCGCGAACCGUGCUACCAUUAGCUUGGUGGCGCUGGGGAUCGGCUCGAUUACUUUGAGAAAAAUAGAGUGUUCAAAGCAGGCCACACGCCUUGAAUAAGUUAGCAUGGAAUAAUGACUAAGGACUUCGGUUCUAUUUUGUUGGUGUUCGGGACUGAAGUAAUGAUUGAUAGGGACAGUUGGGGCGGUCUGUAUUCCAAAGCGAGAGGUGAAAUUCUUAGACCUUCGGAAGACAAACAGCUGCGAAAGCGUUCCGCAAGGAUGUUCCCUUUGAUCAAGAACGAAAGUUGGGGGAUCGAAGACGAUCAGAUACCGUCGUAGUCUCAACUAUAAACUAUACCAGCUAGGGAUCGGUCAACGUUUAAUCAUUCGACUUGAUCGGCACCUUAUGAGAAAUCAAAGCAUCUGGGUUCCGGGGGGAGUAUGGUCGCAAGGCUGAAACUUAAAGGAAUUGACGGAAGGGCACCACCAGCCGUGGAGCCUGUGGCUUAAUUUGACUCAACACGGGAAAACUUACCAGGUCCAGACAUAGUAAGGAUUGACAGAUUGAUAGCUCUUUCUUGAUUCUGUGGGUGGUGGUGCAUGACCGUUCUUAGUUGGUGGAGUGAUUUGUCUGGUUAAUUCCGUUAACGAGCGAGACCCCAGCCUGCUAAAUAGCGCGGCUGAGCUUUGCUCGGUGCGAGCUUCUUAGAGGGACUAUGAUGCGCGAUAGCACAUGGAAGUUUGGGGCAAUAACAGGUCUGUGAUGCCCUUAGAUGUUCUGGGCCGCACACGGGCUACACUGGCGCCUGCAACGAGCAUAUCAGCUGGCCCGAGAGGGUCUUGGCUAAUCUUUUGAACCGGCGCCGUGCUUGGGAUUGACCAUUGCAAUUGUUGGUCAUGCAACGAGGAAUGCCUUGUAAACGCGAGUCAUCAGCUCGCAUUGAAUACGUCCCUGCCCUUUGUACACACCGCCCGUCGCUCCUACCGAUGAAUGUUCCGAUGAAAUUUUCGGAGAGCGCCAGAGAACGGGGCUCCGCCUUGCAGAUCUGGAGGCUCAAAGUCACUUAAAUCUGAACAUUUCGAGGAAGGAGAAGUAGUAACAAGGUAGCCG